ensembl:lncRNA
AGCUUCACUUUACAAACAAUAUCAACACCUGAAGAGCAGAUAAAAGGUAGGGAGGUUCUUUGCUCUCUCAGGAAAGACAAAGCAUGGCUAAAUGUUGGAAGAUGGUGAGACUACUUUUUUUUUCAGACACUGGAACUUUGCAGGGCCACUCUGAGCUGUGAACAUGCCUUUGAGGAGAGUCCUACCAGCCAGGAACACAGCAAAAUGUGGUGGAGAGACCAUAUUCCACUGUACAAGGAAUCCUGUUGGCAAGCCAUAGCAUCUGAAAUCAGGAGACCUUACCAAAAAAAAGCUUUUUGCAACUGUCAUGUUUCUGGCUCAUCUGCUUUGCCCAUCGUGAUAAGCAAUUUAUCCAUGAUCUUGCCUUACUCAUAUCCCUGGAAAAAAAUUGCUGCUCUGUGCAGAGUGAUCAGUUUCUCUUUCAAGUUUCAGCAUGAAGUGCAAGGCUCUUUCUGCCAAGCCAUCCCAGUGCAGUGGUUCUCCCCUCUGGGGUUACAGCCUCCCCGAGGCUCUCAGGGCUGGAACUGCCCUCCCUCUGCAGCCUGAGAACCCAAAAUGUUGGCUGAAGACCUCCUUCCUUUUCCUCACCUCGCAGGCAAACUCAAACUCUAAGCCAUUACAAUGGGUCCUGAAAGUGUGCUCGUGGAUUAAAGGCUUGAGGGGCCCUGGAAGAUGCUGAUCCCUGGCAGAGGAUAUGGACUCCAUCCCUACUGAAAUCAGCCCCAGCAGUAAUUGUGUGGUGUGGUGUGAACUGUUUUUCCUGAGCUUGUCUGGUGACUGUGUUUAAAGUCCCCUGAGAACAAACAGAUCAGAGAUUUUACAGCUGCACAGAGCUUGUGCCUGAACAUUAAUGGCUACGUUGGCAAGCAGAUGGGAGCUGGUCUUUCUUACUCUUUCCUAAAGAUGUACCAUCUCUUCUUUUGACAUUUUGAUAGAUCAGCAGAUUCUCACUCUGUGUUAUAUUCCAGACAUGCAGCUGAGAGACGAUUAAUGUCUAGGAAAGUGAAAAUGCUGCACCUUUAUUCCUUAUAAAAGUCUUUACUGUGUCACAUCUUGUAGGAUAACAUCCAGAACAGGGGAACGGUGGCUCCAUUCAAGUCUAUUGCAAAACUCCUGGGGAUAAAAGUCUCUCAUUCAUAAAGCUGUAAGCACACCUUACUACUUUUUUAAACUUUAAUUAAUGAAAUGCUCUCAGGACGAGCCAGUGAGAGCAAAGCUUCAACUUCAGCCUACAUCUGACCAAAAGUCUCUAUUUUGCUGAUACAGGUGUGAAGGUUUUUCUAGGACCACAUAGCAGAAACAGCCUAUUCCUUUCUCAGUGUAGGCUGCCAUGUCAUUCCUCACCAACUUGAAAACCAUUAUGGAAAUAGAUCUUUAUUUGCGGUUGUUUGGGGGUUUUUUCCCCAUAUGUUAGGUUUUAGAGAUAAUAUUGAUUUCCUUGCUCCCUUUCAGGCAUCCCCCACAGUGGGUUUCACCUUAUAGAUGUCAUGUUCAGUAAUAACGGAAUAAUUUGCUAAAAAAUUGACCCUAAUGUUUUAAAUUCGUUAGUUUCUGCUGCUCUUCAAUGCUUUUUGCUAAGUCUAGCAAGAGGCCGAGGUUAGGAGAUGGCAGAUUUAGUCCAGGUGUGAGGAAAUGGCUUUGCGGGCUUUACCCCGCUCGCUGAAGCGGCUCGGACACUUGGGAACGCGAGUUUAAGAACGCAGCGCAGUUCUGCCGGGGGUUGUGCAAACUCGGCUCAAGUCCUUUAACUGCAGGCGCAGGAGAAGUUCCCUAAAGGCCGGACCAGCCGCGGGCUUUGCUGCCCGGCCGCGCUGCGGC